UAGGGAAUCUUCCACAAUGGGCGAAAGCCUGAUGGAGCAACGCCGCGUGUGUGAUGAAGGGUUUCGGCUCGUAAAACACUGUUGUAAGAGAAGAAUGACAUUGAGGUAACUGUUCAAUGUGUGACGGUAUCUUACCAGAAAGGAACGGCUAAAUACGCGCCAG
rnacentral:rRNA from 1 species